UACGUAGGUGGCAAGCGUUGUCCGGAUUUACUGGGCGUAAAGGGAGCGUAGGUGGAUAUUUAAGUGGGAUGUGAAAAUACCCGGGCUUAACCUGGGUGCUGCAUUCCAAACUGGAUAUCUAGAGUGCAGGAGAGGAAAGGAGAAUCCUAGUGUAGCGGUGAAAUGCGUAGAGAGUUAGGAAGAAUACCAGUGGCGAAGGCGCCUUUCUGGACUGGUAACUGACACUGAGGCUCGAAAGCGUGGGGAGCAAACAGG
rnacentral:rRNA from 1 species